rnacentral:tRNA from 1 species
GCCGGGGUAGCUCAGUGGUAGAGCACAUGACUGAAAAUCAUGGUGUCGAGAGUUCGAUUCUCUCCCCCGGCA